GGCAUCGGUGGAUGAACCCUCAAUAUGGCUUGGGUAUUAUAAUAAUUACAUAUGUUAGAGGAUGCAUUGGUAUAGUGGAUUGAUGAUUGUUAGGUGUGCGGCAAGGCUCUGUUGGUGAAAACUUUUGCAUGUAAACUUUGCACUUCACAUGUUUAAUUUUUUAAGCUUUGCAUCUUUUGCAUUUAUACCACCCAAAUCUUUCAUAUUAACUUUUCAUAUAUAAGUGAAAUGACACAUAUGUAGAAAAAAAUAUGAAAUUUUUGAUAUUAGAUAUAUAAAUACAUGAGAAUUUGUGUGGUAUGUAUGUAAAUGUACAUAUUAGUCAAAUGAUAAUCUUAAACCAUCGUGCAUGGUGGAAGUCAUUUUGAGCAGCUUUUUCGGAUACAUUCUGUUAGGUUUGUCUUAUCACUCUUUUGGAAGAUUUACAGAUUUACAUAUACGCCACCCAAUUCUUAUGUGUUUAUCAAUAUCUGCUUUGCUUUCAAAAGGUAAACAAGGAAUGAAAGAGUUACAUGUAUACCACGUGAUUCUUAUGUUUCUACAUAUCCAAUAUCUGAACUUAAAAUUAUAUGUAGGUCAUACAAUUCUUCUUAUAUGCGCACCAUCCAAUACCUACAUAUUUUUACGUUUAGAACCUAAAGUUCAGUAUUUACAUGCACUUACAUGUUUAAUGCAUAAACCUGAAAAUUCUCACAUAUAUACCAUGGUAUCAAUGCAUAAAAAGGGAGAGUUUUUCCUAUUUAAGAAUUAAAUGCUAGUCCUUUUUAUGUGAUAUGAAAGAUUUUGAUAGCAUAAAUUCAAAAAGUAAAGUUUAGGAGUUAAAUAUGUAAACACAUACGAACUGAGUCGUAUGUAGGCAAAUACCCUUUGUCUUCCCACAUGUUUACCUUGAUGUUAAGAUUUGAUUGAAGACAUUCAAGAUGGAGCAGCUUUAUAUGAAUCAUCGAGUGGGGUUAUAAGUUGGAAGGAUUGAAGAUAAGGGCGAUGAUGCAAAAGACAUCUAGUGCUAAAAAUCGGGACAAUAGAAUAUUACUUCUCCUGACCUGAUGACUUCGUGAGGGAGCAAGAUCGACACUACUAUUCUCCAACACUUGGUGCGAAGCUGCCCUUGCUUUCCUAGGUUGUUGGUAGCCCGAACCCAAUAAUAUGACUGAUUUGUGGACCAUAUGAUUUACAAAGUAUACAAUAAUAUGACAAUCUUUUUUUGCGAGGUUAAUUUUUUUGUUGCUAAUGACUUUGGUGAAAAUUCUAAUUAUGAAACUUGGGUGUUGACUUGUUGUACGUCCACUUGCCAAUCACCUUGAUGGGGCUAAGAUCUUUCUUUGAUUGUCUUGUUGGUAGUUUCUUCCCAAGGCUGGACUUAUAAGAACAGAUGCUGAUGGUUGCCUAUGGAUGUCCCUCGAGAAUCGUCAGGGUCACAUGUCCUGAGUCUGAGCACACCCCUAACUUUAACUCUUAUACACUUCGAUCUUUCAUAUAUUACUAUCUUAUUUUACAUAUCAAACAUAUAAUUGCAAUUCUUUCCAAAAGUAUCAUCAGAGGCGGCAGGUAUGUACUACCACUUCUUUUUUAGUGUACUUCCCUUUUAUUGCAUCUUAUUGUGUAUAUUCCGUUUAUGCAUGUUAUCCUUCUAUCACUAUUUUUAUGAAACGUGGGAAAGACCAUUAAGGUAGAAAACAUUGGACACAUGCCUAGGGUGAAAGCUUUAAUUCUUUUCUUAUGAAAGACCCUAGGAUAGAGGACGUAGAACAUAUGUUUAGGUGGAAACCCUAUGAUACACAACCAACAUAGUAACCUGACAUAUUGUUAAACAAUUCUUAAAGGCCCUACAACAAAACUUGUCAACAUAACAAAAACAACAAUCAUCAACUCAAAAGUAUACCCUCUAUAACUAAAACACUACAAUAAAGAACCUCGGAGGAGCUGUUCAAGGAACGAGGUGACAGCGCGAUCAGACAAUGGUGGUCAACCUUCAAGCGACGAAUCAAGACCCAAAACAAUAAAGUGAACGAUGAACCUCAACUAAACUUUCCUUAGACUUAUAUAAUAUAAAUUCAUAGGACUUUGAGGUUGUUCGUCUAGCACGACGUAAAUCUUUACGUUAUCUUUUAAGGUCUUCACAUGAUUAUAUGUCGUGCAAUAUAAAUCUUAACAUUUUUUAGGAUUUCGAGGCUGCUCGUUUGGUACGUCGUAAAUACUCAUAUCUUCUUAGGCUACAUGUGAUGAUCGUAUGUUGCGCAAUGUAAGUCCUAGAGUUAAAAUAAAAAUAACAAGAGUAAACAUCAGAUAACAUCACUUCCAAAAUGUAAAAUCAAAUAGUAAGAUAGCUUGGGAAGUCCUUGAGGUUCCCCUCAUAAUCUAUGACAUCCCAUACCUUUCGCUCAUUUGGUCUCCAAAAGACUGUUCUUAUUUGAGACAUUCCCACUGAAAACUAAACUUUGAAUUCUUGAAGCCGAAAUCCCGAUUUUAAUUGAGAGUUUUCUUAAGUGAUCUCAGCCGUUCAAGAAGUAAUUAACUAUAGGGGGUUAUGCCUAUAGGAGAAUUAAUAACUCAGAUAAUCUAAGUCAUGUCUAAUCUUUAUAUUAGAUAGAGUAAUAAUCAGUCGUAAAAUUUGCAGACCACAUAAAUAUUAUAAAUUUCUUAGUUUAAAUAGUUAAGUCUAUUAUCAAGUGAUAUGCUCAUAUUUCGAGAUGAUGUAUUACUUGUAGUAUUGUACUCGAUUAUUUAAACUAUUAAAUGAAUGAGAUAUAUCUGUUCUCAAUUUUUAAAAUUAAAAUAUUAUUUUCAAAAUCAAAAUUACAUAUAUAUUAAACUAAAUUAUUUUCAAACUGGCGGAUCAAUUCUAAAGGGCGACCGAUCACCUGCGACUACCACACACGCACUGCCAGCUGCUGUGACCACCACAUUCGCACAACCAACGACUGUGAUUACCACACCUGCAUUGCCACCAGCUACAACUACCACACCGACACCACCACUAACUGCUCCCGAUGCGUCAUCUAGUUCAAGCACCACAUGCAUCAUUUUUCAGCUACGACCUGUGGGGAAUGCGCCAUCCAUUCUGUCCGGGACAUCAUUCAGAACAAGUUUGACUAUCCCUACUUAUCAUGCAAGGAGGACUUGAUCCCAAUUCAAAAUAUGUGAUUUCAGGAGUUCAAUUUUUUUCUAUUUUAUUUUGCAGAAACAAUGGUGAUGACCACCUGAGGAGGAGGCCCACAUAUAGCGCAACUUCAAGCACAAGGAGGAUUUUGAGCGACCAUCUUCGUAAUAUGUUUGGGGACAUACGAAAGACACGCUAGCGCACUUUGUAACUCGACGAGGAUGUGUUUGCCUCGUUUUUUAAGUCAUAAGAUUCUCCUAAAUACCAAAAGAAGAGGGAGAAGACCAAACAAAAUCACUGCUCUGACUACGGAGGCAAGGGGGCCUCCAAGCAAACUGGUAGACGAUGCUACAUACAAAACAUAAGAGGAUAGUGUCUAUAACAUUGGAAGGGACCCAUCCGCUAUCGAGUUACACGUGCGCACUCAUAAGCUGCAGCCAGACCAGAGCUGGGUGAAAACGGAUCUCAGACGACCCAAAAGACCUUUUAAAGGAUGAAGAAGAGCGAAUGCCCGGAGUCAGAUGGUAUUACGAUCACAGAUCCCGAUCCUUCUAACUACGACACGUGGAGAGAGGCUACUAGAGGGAUGCAAAAGGGUUGGAUCAAUGACUUAGGAUCUCAGGCAUCAACCUACGACGCUCGUCCCUUCAGCUCAUUCGGUUCAUCGACCUCUACUGCCCAGGAGGAGGAGCUUUGUAGGCAGGUUGAUGCUCUUACUCUUGAUAAUGAGGCAAGAUUUGUUGUUGAGGUUGUUGCCCAAAUCUCCACUUAGCUAGCCCAAAUAAGAUGGAAGAUGGAGUUGAAGAUGAAGGCAAAUUUUGACGCGAUACUGUGACACGCACGACUAAGAGGAAAAAACCAGAUGAGGAUGAGUCUGACGAGGACCGUGAUGAGAGGACAGAGGAGUACGAACUUAUUUUUUUCCUCUUUAGUUAUUUAGAAUAAUUUAUUGGAGCAAACAUUAUUUU